rnacentral:rRNA from 1 species
ACCUCCAGCAUUUCCAGUAUUGGAGGCACUGCCUGCCCAGUGACUAAACGUUAAACGGCCGCGGUAUUCUGACCGUGCAAAGGUAGCAUAAUCAUUUGUUCUCUAAAUAAGGACUUGUAUGAACGGCCACACGAGGGUUUUACUGUCUCUUACUUCCAAUCAGUGAAAUUGACCUCCCCGUGAAGAGGCGGGAAUGAAUUAACAAGACGAGAAGACCCUAUGGAGCUUUAACUAACUAGUCCAAAAGAAAUAAAUUUAACCACCAAGGGAUAACAACAUCCUUUAUGGACUAGCAGUUUUGGUUGGGGUGACCUCGGAGAACAAGAGAUCCUCCGAGCGAUUUUAAAGACUAGACUUACAAGUCAAAUCAAAUUAUCGCUUAUUGAUCCAAAAAACUUGAUCAACGGAACAAGUUACCCUAGGGAUAACAGCGCAAUCCUAUUCAAGAGUCCAUAUCGACAAUAGGGUUUACGACCUCGAUGUUGGAUCAGGACAUCCUGAUGGUGCAACCGCUAUCAAA